GAUGAACGCUAGCUACAGGCUUAACACAUGCAAGUCGAGGGGCAGCAUUGGAGUAGCAAUACUUCAGAUGGCGACCGGCGCACGGGUGAGUAACACGUAUCCAACCUGCCGCUUACUCGGGGAUAGCCUUUCGAAAGAAAGAUUAAUACCCGAUGGUAUAAAGAGUUCGCAUGUUCUCUUUAUUAAAGAAUUUCGGUAAGCGAUGGGGAUGCGUUCCAUUAGAUUGUUGGCGGGGUAACGGCCCACCAAGUCUACGAUGGAUAGGGGUUCUGAGAGGAAGGUCCCCCACAUUGGAACUGAGACACGGUCCAAACUCCUACGGGAGGCAGCAGUGAGGAAUAUUGGUCAAUGGACGAGAGUCUGAACCAGCCAAGUAGCGUGAAGGAUGACUGCCCUAUGGUUGUAAACUUCUUUUAUAAGGGAAUAAAGUGAGGGACGUGUCCCUUUUUGUAUGUACCUUAUGAUAAGGAUCGGCUAACUCCGUGCCAGCAGCCGCGGUAAUCUGUAGUCGUC
rnacentral:rRNA from 1 species